UACGUAGGGUGCGAGCGUUAAUCGGAAUUACUGGGCGUAAAGCGUGCGCAGGCGGUUCGUUGUGUCGGUGGUGAAAGCCCCGGGCUUAACCUGGGAAUGGCCAUGGAAACUGGCGAACUGGAGUGUGGCAGAGGGGGGUGGAAUUCCGCGUGUAGCAGUGAAAUGCGUAGAGAUGCGGAGGAACACCGAUGGCGAAGGCAGCCCCCUGGGCUAACACUGACGCUCAGGCACGAAAGCGUGGGGAGCGAACAGG
rnacentral:rRNA from 1 species